rnacentral:tRNA from 1 species
CGGUGGUCAAGUGGUUAAGACACCGCCCUUUCACGGCGGUAACACGGGUUCAAAUCCCGUCCGG